CUUCCUCGAUCUGCUGCGGGCAGAUGAAGUGGAUGUGGCUGUCGAUGCCACCGGCAGUGACGAUGUUACCCUCGCAGCUGAUGACCUCGGUGCCGGGGCCGAUGAUGAUGUCCACCCCCGGCUGCGUGUCGGGGUUGCCGGCCUUGCCAAUGGCGACGAUGCGCCCGCCUUUCAAGCCGAUGUCGGCCUUGACGAUGCCCCAGUGGUCCAGGAUCAACGCGUUGGUCAUCACCGUGUCCACGGCGCCCCCGGCCUGGGGGCCGCUACCUGUGCCAUUGCGGGUGCGUUGUGACUGCGCCAUGCCGUCGCGGAUG
rnacentral:sRNA from 1 species